GUGUGUGUUAGUGGAAGCGUCUGGAAAGGCGCGCGAUACAGGGUGACAGCCCCGUACACAAAAAUGCACAUAUUGUGAGCUCGAUGAGUAGGGCGGGACACGUGGUAUCCUGUCUGAAUAUGGGGGGCCCAUCCUCCAAGGCUAAAUACUCCUGACUGACCGAUAGUGAACCAGUACCGUGAGGGAAAGGCGAAAAGAACCCCGGCGAGGGGAGUGAAAAAGAACCUGAAACCGUGUACGUACAAGCAGUGGGAG
rnacentral:rRNA from 1 species